UACGAGAGGCCCAAACGUUAUUCGGAAUUACUGGGCUUAAAGAGUUCGUAGGCGGCGCAGAAAGUAGGGUGUGAAAGCCCUCGGCUCAACCGAGGAAUUGCGCUCUAAACUACUGUGCUUGAGGAACCUAGAGGUGAGCAGAACAGAUGGUGGAGCGGUGAAAUGCGUUGAUAUCAUCUGGAAUACCGGAGGCGAAGGCGGCUCACUGGGGGUUUUCUGACGCUGAGGAACGAAAGCCAGGGUAGCGAACGGG
rnacentral:rRNA from 1 species